rnacentral:tRNA from 1 species
GCAUUGGUGGUUCAGUGGCAGAAUUCUCACCUCCCAUGUGAGAGCCCCGGGUUCGAUUCCUGGCCAGUUCA